GAAGAAAACAUUAUUAAUAAUAGAAAACGAGCUCGCUUGGUUCGGGGUACGCAUCUCCAACAAGACAAUCGUAGAACGACAGCAAACACAUAAACCCGAUCAAUCUUACUGCAUCCAUAAGAAUUCACUAAACAUGGAAUGAAAACGGACAGCUCGAGAGUUUUUUGGAGUAUCGGGAUAUGUAUUAUCGGAAAAAGGCAGAAAACACACGAGCAAAAUGAAUAACGACUGUGCGCAUUAACAUUCUACUCACUAUUUAUUAAUGCUGCAUUGCAUCGUUCACUUGUUGUGAUGUUACACUAAUGAAAAAAGAAAUUACAGAUAGAUGGAAGCAGAAUAUAACAAUAAACUAUAAUAAUAAACAAUCUCAUGUGUGUGAAUCUUAUAAUAUGUGCUUUAUAUAAAACAUGCACUUUGUACGAAUAAAAAUGCACAUUCCCUGGGA